CACCGCCCGUCACACCAUGGGAGUGGGUUUCACCAGAAGCAGUUAGCCUAACCGCAGGGAGGGCGAUUGCCACGGUGAGAUUCAUGACUGGGGUG
rnacentral:rRNA from 1 species